GAGUUUGAUCCUGGCUCAGGACGAACGCUGGCGGCGUGCCUAACACAUGCAAGUCGAACGGAGUUAAAUUCGACACCCGAGUAUCCGGCCGGGAGGCGGGGUGCUGGGGGUUGGAUUUAACUUAGUGGCGGACGGGUGAGUAACGCGUGAGUAACCUGCCUUUCAGAGGGGGAUAACGUUCUGAAAAGAACGCUAAUACCGCAUAACAUCAAUUUAUCGCAUGAUAGGUUGAUCAAAGGAGCAAUCCGCUGGAAGAUGGACUCGCGUCCGAUUAGCCAGUUGGCGGGGUAACGGCCCACCAAAGCGACGAUCGGUAGCCGGACUGAGAGGUUGAACGGCCACAUUGGGACUGAGACACGGCCCAGACUCCUACGGGAGGCAGCAGUGGGGGAUAUUGCACAAUGGGGGAAACCCUGAUGCAGCAACGCCGCGUGAGGGAAGAAGGUUUUCGGAUUGUAAACCUCUGUUCUUAGUGACGAUAAUGACGGUAGCUAAGGAGAAAGCUCCGGCUAACUACGUGCCAGCCGCCGCGGUAAUUC
rnacentral:rRNA from 1 species